rnacentral:rRNA from 1 species
CGGACGGGUGAGUAACGCGCGGGUAACCUGCCCUGUACAGGGGGAUAACAGUUGGAAACGGCUGCUAAAACCGCAUAACAUGGAGAUACCGCAUGAUAUUUCCAUCAAAUAUUUAUAGGUACAGGAUGGGCCCGCGUCUGAUUAGCCAGUUGGCAGGGUAAUGGCCUACCAAAGCGACGAUCAGUAGCCGACUUGAGAGAGUGACCGGCCACAUUGGGACUGAGACACGGCCCAAACUCCUACGGAAGGCAGCAG